rnacentral:lncRNA from 1 species
UUGCUGGUACAAGGAACAACUUCAGGGCUACGGACGGAACGGAUUGGGUUAUGAUUACCAGAAUCUGUAGUUUUUUUGCUAGCAGGGUCGUUUGGGCAGGAGCUGUGGUUGUAACACCUCCGGUUGUGAUUCAUUCGAUGAAAUAGUUUUUUUAACUUCGGCAUGUCUCGUUGCAAAAAUAUUUAACAAAAUGACUUCUUGUAGCCGUUUAAAGUGGAUAGAAAAUAUAAAAUAUCCAGUUACCCUUAUCUAGUUAUUUUUUUCUUUUUUUCUUUUCUAUCCCUUCUUUCUAUUUAUUUUUCUUCCUAUUUAUUUUCUUUCUUUCCUCUCAUUUUGUCAGUGCGAAAUCUGGCCGACAAGUGCCGUGCGUUAGAUCGGAUAUAGCCUAGCACACAAUGACAUAGGAUGUAUAUUGGUUCGGGCAACGCGCCCUACGUCUAGUCGGGGUCUGUCGGUCGAUUUUAUUCCUGAGUCCAGGUGCUCAAAGUUUGCAGUGGGGUACAAACGAGAGGAGUAUGAGAGGAGGAUGCCUG